ACUCCUACGGGAGGCAGCAGUGGGGAAUAUUGCACAAUGGGCGCAAGCCUGAUGCAGCCAUGCCGCGUGUAUGAAGAAGGCCUUCGGGUUGUAAAGUACUUUCAGCAGUGAGGAAGGUGGGUAUGUUAAUAGCAUACUCAUUUGACGUUAGCUGCAGAAGAAGCACCGGCUAACUCCGUGCCAGCAGCCGCGGUAAUACGGAGGGUGCGAGCGUUAAUCGGAAUUACUGGGCGUAAAGCGCAUGCAGGUGGUUUGUUAAGUCAGAUGUGAAAGCCCGGGGCUCAACCUCGGAAUUGCAUUUGAAACUGGCAAACUAGAGUACUGUAGAGGGGGGUAGAAUUUCAGGUGUAGCGGUGAAAUGCGUAGAGAUCUGAAGGAAUACCGGUGGCGGAAGGCGGCCCCCUGGACAGAUACUGACACUCAGAUGCGAAAGCGUGGGGAGCAAACAGGAUUAGAUACCCUGGGAGGCUCUGC
rnacentral:rRNA from 1 species